AACGCACCUUGCACCCUUUGGUAUUCCGAAGGGUACACCCGUUUGAGUGUCAUUGUAAUCUCACACCCAAAGGUUUUUCGAAACUGGAGGGACCGUGGACUUGGACGUGUCUGCCGUGUCAAUACGGCUCGUCUCAAAUGCAUGAGUGUGACCGGCUUGCCUUAGUGUCAUCUGGUGUGAUAAGCAUCUUCACUGGAAUUAUUGGGACCCUCUCUUUUGAGGAACCCGCACUCUGGCUCGCCCAUGGUCGGCUGCCAACCGUCUUUUUUUUGGACAAUACUUUGACAAUUUGACCUCAAAUCGGGUGGGACUACCCGCUGAACUUAA
rnacentral:misc_RNA from 1 species